AGACCCCUACGGGAGGCAGCAGUGGGGAAUAUUGCACAAUGGGGGGAACCCUGAUGCAGCGACGCCGCGUGAGUGAAGAAGUAUUUCGGUAUGUAAAGCUCUAUCAGCAGGGAAGAAAUAAAGUCCUUCGGACUUUGGACGGUACCUGACUAAGAAGCCCCGGCUAACUACGUGCCAGCAGCCGCGGUAAUACGUAGGGGGCAAGCGUUAUCCGGAUUUACUGGGUGUAAAGGGAGCGCAGGCGGCGCGGUAAGUCUGAUGUGAAAGCCCGGGGCUCAACCCCGGGACUGCAUUGGAAACUGUCG
rnacentral:rRNA from 1 species